rnacentral:tRNA from 2 species
GGGCACGUAGCUCAGCGGGAGAGCACUACGUUGACAUCGUAGGGGUCACUGGUUCAAUCCCAGUCGUGCCCACCA